CGCCGCGGUUAUACGAGAGGCCUAAGUUGACAACAUGCGGCGUAAAAAGUGGUCAAUUGUAUAAAAAACUAAAGCUAAACACCCUCUUGGCUGUGAUACGCACCCGAAGGCAAGAGACCUGCUCACGAAAGUAGCUUUAAAUCUAAUUUACCACGAAAGCUAGAAAA
rnacentral:rRNA from 1 species